GAUGAACGCUGGCGGCGUGCCUAAUACAUGCAAGUCGAGCGAACAGACGAGGAGCUUGCUCCUCUGACGUUAGCGGCGGACGGGUGAGUAACACGUGGAUAACCUACCUUUAAGACUGGGAUAACUUCGGGAAACCGGAGCUAAUACCGGAUAAUAUAUUGAACCGCAUGGUUCAAUAGUGAAAGACGGUUUUGCUGUCACUUAUAGAUGGAUCCGCGCCGCAUUAGCUAGUUGGUAAGGUAACGGCUUACCAAGGCGACGAUGCGUAGCCGACCUGAGAGGGUGAUCGGCCACACUGGAACUGAGACACGGUCCAGACUCCUACGGGAGGCAGCAGUAGGGAAUCUUCCGCAAUGGGCGAAAGCUUGACGGAGCAACGCCGCGUGAGUGAUGAAGGUCUUCGGAUCGUAAAACUCUGUUAUUAGGGAAGAACAAAUGUGUAAGUAACUAUGCACGUCUUGACGGUACCUAAUCAGAAAGCCACGGCUAACUACGUG
rnacentral:rRNA from 1 species